AAACUGAGGGUCUGGUGGAAUUGUGGGAGUUGCUGCCUUGGUUCUUUUGGAAGCUGUCGUAUACUUCUUGUUGCCUUGUUUGCUGAAGCUUGUGAUUUACCCGCUGCCCUGCUGGUUGUGUGCUACUGUUAGUUUUGGUUUUGCAAGUUUUUUUUCUUUUCUUAUUCUAGUUGUAUUCUUUCAGUGGUAUUGUUUGUUUUUUCCCUUGGUUUAU
rnacentral:lncRNA from 1 species